rnacentral:rRNA from 1 species
AGUGAACGCUGGCGGCGUGCCUAAUACAUGCAAGUCGAACGGAAUUUAAAAGAGCUUGCUCUUUUAAAUUUAGUGGCGCACGGGUGAGUAAUAUAUAGCUAAUCUGCCCCUUGCUGGAGGACAACAGUUAGAAAUGACUGCUAAUACUCCAUACUCCUUUUUACCAUAAGAUAAAUCGGGAAAGAGUUUCGGCAAGGGAUGAGACUAUAUCGUAUCAGCUAGUCGGUGGGGUAACGGCCUACCGAGGCUAUGACGCGUAACUGGUCUGAGAGGAUGAUCAGUCACAUUGGAACUGAGACACGGUCCAAACUCCUACGGGAGGCAGCAGUAGGGAAUAUUGCGCAAUGGGGGAAACCCUGACGCAGCAACGCCGCGUGGAGGAUGACACUUUUCGGAGCGUAAACUCCUUUUGUUAGGG